UCUCAUAUCUUGAAUAAUUCACAUGUCCCUCAUAGUCUCUCCAAAUCUCUCAAAUCUCUUUCCUUUUUUGCAGAAACAAAGGAACACACACAACUUUAGUUUGAUUUUUGGUGACCAAGAAACAACAAGGCAUAUUUGCUCGUUUGUUCGAUUCUCAUUUUGGAGUGCGACUUUAAUAAAUGAAAUCCCGUUUAUGUUCUCUAGGCCAUCCACCAAGUUGAAGAAAGGAAUGGUCGGAAGAAUGGCUUGAAGACCUGAUAAGAAUGACUUGAAGAAUGAGCCAAAGAUUGAUGACACUCACAGUUUAAGAAUGUUCUUAUUUUUUAAGAAUUACACUUGUAUUUAUUCAUUAACUGUAUAUUCAAGAAUGCUGAUUUUUUAUGAUAUUCUUUUAGAAUAUGUAUAAAUAUAUUACAUUGUAGAAGGCUAUUAGUAUGUAAGAAUAUGUAUGAAUUUCUAUUUAAGUUCGAAUGUAUAUGAAAAUAUUAAAAUGUUGUUAUU